GCCUACCUGAUGAGUCCCAAAUAGGGCGAAACCAGUGGUAGGC
rnacentral:hammerhead_ribozyme from 1 species